rfam:Myotis lucifugus cont2.11559, whole genome shotgun sequence.
GCCGGGCACGGUGGCGCGCGCCUGUAGUCCCAGCUACUCGGGAGGCUGAGGCUGGAGGAUCGCUUGAGCCCAGGAGUUCUGGGCUGUAGUGCGCUGUGCCGAUCGGGUGUCCGCACUAAGUUCGGCAUCAAUAUGGUGACCUCCCGGGAGCGGGUCGGCCAAGAUGCCUAAGGAGGGGAGAACCGGCCCAGGUCAGAGAUGGAGCAGGUCAAAGCUCCCGUGCUGAUCAGUAGUGGGAUCGCGCCUGUGAAUAGCUAUUGCACUCCAGCCUGGGCAACACAGCGAGACCCCGUCUCUU